ensembl:lncRNA
AUUCAUUCACUCACUUCUCACUCCACACCACUUUAGUCAUAUAUUUAUUAUUAUUUAUUUGUGCAAGCAUAUGACUAUAAUGUCAUGUAAUAAAGAAUCUUUGAAUAUUGAAUCUAAUAUUUGUUCUUUGUUUCUUUGCUUUGUGUGCUUUUUGUACGUCUGACAGGUGCAGUGAGGAAAAAUCGCAUGACAAUCAAAGCCACCGACACGGAGAUCAAGCAUCACACCAUCAGAUGGUUUAAUCUGGGACAGAUUUGGGCCAGGUUUUCAUUAGCAUUUUGCCAGCCAAAUACAUUUUGCUGUCUGUGCACACGGUGACGCAAAAGUGUGUGAAAUUUGAUGUAGUGUGCAUGCCAGGUGGCUAGGUGGUUCUGUGAGGCACUGCCACACAACACUACCAAGAGCACGCGCAUGCGUUGAAACUUCCUUCUACUUCUCUCCUUAGUAGUGCGAAAUAGCCUACAGUCGAAAACCAAAACAUGGCGAAGAAGCGAAGUACGACAGACAACUUUGUCUGGACAGACAAGGAGGUCGAGCUAUUGCUGAGAACUACGUUGGAUUACAAGGCCACAAAGGCACGAGGGAGUGGACUGGGAGUCCUGUCAGUCCAUAUAUGUGAAUAUAUGGACCGACUUUCUGCGUUAGUAUCCUGUACCUGGAGAGACGGCAUAUCCCCAUGAGAAGGAGGCUAUAUGCAAAACGCAGAUAGCAUCAAAACUGAAAGGAGUCCGAGCAAAGUAUAGGCAGGCUGCAGAUACUCAACGGCGGAGUGGCCAUGGGAGAGUGAUCUCUCUUUUUUUUUUUAUUUAAGCAAUGACAUGUGGGGUGGGUUGCAAGCCACAAACACAAUAGAGGCUGGUGUCGAAACAUCUGAACUAAACGACACAGUGGAUACUGCUAGCGAGUCGACCAUCAUAUCGCCUGAUCCGCCGGAAGAGUCAAUAGUCAGCCCCCAGACCUCAGUCCAGUCCAGGAGAGAUCUACUUCAGGCAAGGCUCGAUGGCCAUAGAAGUGAAAGGCUCCAGAACAGACUUCGGGUGGAUCCGGUGCAGACCGACCUCGACAUGACAAGGAAGAUCGUAGACAUCAUUGAGCAGGCUGAAAGGAGCAACAGAGAGAGGCUGGACACAAUUGCAGCGGCUCAAAUAAGGAUAAGCCAUAGCUUUGAUUUCCUUGUGAGACACAUCACCUCUCAGCCACAAGCAAACCAUGCCCUGCCUAAUGCUUUCACACCAGCACCAUCCAUGGCCCCCGCACAUUCAUACACACCACCACCCAUGGCCCGCGCACAUUCAUAAACACCACCACCCAUGGACCCCGCACAUUCGCGCACACCAUCACCCAUGGCCCCCGCACAUUCAUACACAGCACUGCCCAUGGCCCCUGCACAUCCAUACACACCACAACACAUGGGCCCUGCACAUUCAUACACUGCUCAGCCCAUGGCCCCUGUACCUCCAUCCUCCUACAGAUGAUUACUAGAAGAGGAACACUCCGAUGAGGAAGACGUUGACCUUUUGUCAUUGUCAUAGACAAAGUGCCAAGUUUGUUUACAUUUUGUUAUACAAUUUUUGUUCAGUACCUGUCUGCUGUUUAAGCACUUAAUUCUUUCUCAACCGCUGGGCAGAGGCCCACGCUCUGUUCUGUUAGAUAGGUUUGCCCUGGAGUAAACUUGAAUAUGACACUUUAUGAAUAUGGCACUUUAAUAUUCAUUGCAUCGUUUUUUUUAUUAUUGUUGUCUAUUGCAAUAAAAAAAAACUAGUUUGCAGCCUAAACAAGCAGAUGUUGAAACACACAUGAGAUUAAACACUGAUCAAGUCGACUAAUAACUGAAGAAAUACAAGUGGCUUGUUAGUUCAAUCAAAGAAGUCCUUUUAACAAUGCUGUGCUGAAUACACAAUAGGUAUACUGAUCUGUAUAAAUCACGGUGUCCUCAUGGAUCCAGUGCUCACCUUUCUGUAGAGAACGUACAGCCAGUAGUCAGCUACCUUGGUCACUGUCCAUACGUGCAGAGUCUAGUCCAUAGGCCAUUAAGGGUCAAGGUAUUUGGUGAGGAUUCUCCUCACUCUCUUUCCUCUUCCCUCAUUACAUUCAGUGAGAUAGCUGUUUGCCUGGGUGGGAGGCUGCAGAUCCCUGUCACACUGUAUAGCGUCCUGCUCAACUUGGUGAUCCACAGUGUCGUUAAAGGCCUCACAGUAGUUGUGGAGGACAAAGCAAGCAUAAAUAACACUAGGCAGAUGACGGAGGCUUAUGUCCAUGGGCCGCCUCAGGGCUGCAAACCUGGCCUUGAGCCGACCAAAUGAACAUUCAAUCACCAUACGGGCCCUACACAAACUGAGUCCAAAGUACUGUUCUGAUGGGGUAGAGCCUCCACCUGAGUACUCUUUCAUAAGGUAAGGGAGAAGGGGGUAGGCAGGGUCCCCCAAGAGAAAGAUAGGUAUUGGCUCCUCUUCAUCCACUAUCUGCAUUUCAAGUGAAAGUAUCUUCCCAGUCUUGAAGUAGGUGUUCACUUUGGAAUUGGCAAAGACAUGCGCAUCGUGGACACUUCCAGGCCAUUUUAUGACCACAUCCAUGAAUAUGUAAGGCAAGCAAACAGCAUCUUUUAACUCAAAGUGCUUUACCAUUUUUAAAACAAAUACAAUGACAAUAGUGAAACAUACAUGGGACAGCCUAUAGAAAGAGCACAAGAGACCUCAAAAACUUUGAUUAGGCCUACCUGUAUUUGUGGUCGCACACAGCUUGGACAUUCAGGGAGAACCUGGCUUUCCUGUUUAUGUAAUCCAUGGCAUUGAUGGCUGGCUGUUUUAUGUCAAUAUGUGUCCCUUCUACCGCUCCCAAACAUUGGGGCAUGCCAUGAUCGCGCAGAAAGCCGGAAACGAGUUCCUCUGCCUCGGGCACAGUAAAUGGCAACUGGAUGUAUUCAGACCAAGGUGGACAGUUAUGACUUUGCACGUUUGUCUGGCGAUGACCGACACAGUCGGCCGUGAUAAGCCAAAGGCGUUCGCUGUUUUCCUUAGCCGUCCCUCGUCGCUUAAAUAAUAUAGUACAAGCUACCUUUUUCAGGACCCCCACAGGUGCUCUCAUGUUGGUUAUUUCGCCCUCCAUGUAUCAGCGAAGUUCCUCACUCAAGGCGACAAGCGAGUCUUUGGACAUGCGAAAGUUUUCACGCCAUGCUCUGUCGUCAACUUCGCCUUGAACAAAGUAGUCCUACCAUCGACUGGUUCUUCCGGGUCUUAUCCAUAGCUGUCUGGUUCGCGUCCACCGAAUUGGUGCAUCAAACAAUUGCCCUAGGUAAUUAAUGUGCCUUCUCUGUUCUGUUAUCUGUGAUUACUCUGUGACUCCUGGAUAGAUAUCAGAGCAGCUAGGGCAACUUGAAUGUCCGACUGAUGGAAACAAUCCGACAUGUUUGUUGUUGUUUGCCUGUACUGCACAUGGAUGUGACGUCAACGCAUACGCGACAAGAGCCAGCGUGAGCAGAUCACAGCACACUUUUGCGUUGUUAAUCCUUUAGACAGAAACGCAACGGUGGAGAUUUUUUAAGAUUUCCAAUCUGGAGGGUGGGUUAAUUUUUUUGUGUUUUUAAGCCCCGAAAACGCCGUCGCCGUCUAAACGAAAGGCACAUCUCAUAAAAUAUUUUGUAGGUUUCACCCGGAAGCGUUGCCGUGUAAAGCCAGCCUUAGACUUUAUUCAUGAAAAACAUUUUUGGAUAAGGGAAUACAAUUUGAAAAGGAUUCUCAAAAAAAUUAUACUUAAAUAAAAAACAGAAUCUUAAAACAAAAGUAAAUAUUCUUAACUAGUGGAGAAGAGUUCAGUCAGGACCACUUUUGUCAAGAAGGAUUGCCUGUGCCUGUGGCCGGAGGCAACAUCCUGGAGGUGGGGAAGGCACUAAGAAAGCAUCCCAACUGCUGUUUUGUCAGUUAUUUUAAUUACAGGACUGGUUCAAGGGUUCUUAACUGGGUUGAGGCUAUAGGCAGAUGGUCAUCUUCGGCUUAAGAUUGUUGACUGGUGUUGAUGGCUUUAUUUUCUCCCUUCCCUUUUCAAGAGGCGGGUUUGUCCCAGGCUCACUGAUUUGGGAUGCCCGUCUCCACAAUAGCUUAGACCUUCCAGGUUGGGGGUUUGAAAAAGGCUUGGGUGGUUGGCCUACAGUCACAAAUUUCAGGAACAGAUUGGGAGAGCGAAAGAAGGAGCUACAAAUGGAGCAAGACAGAGCUCGCUGACCUGUGAAAUGUCUCAUGAGAGCCAGUCGACUACUGACCAGUCCAGUCUCUGGUUGAACCUUUGAAUGUACAUGGCAGCUUUGGUUUCAGUUCAGCUUUACAGGAUGAAAAAACUUAGCUUAUGACAUCUCUAUAUACGGCUAAAGCCACAUUAAAUUCGGCCAGAGUUAGUAUUUUAGAAAGUCCGGGGCCAGUCUUGCAGCAGCCGGAGCAAAGAAUGGAACCCUUGUGAGACUGGGAAUGCACUUCCCAGCGUUCUCCACGGGAACAUGAUGCCAUCGAAGCGCGCUGUAGUGACCAUCACCAUCCAGCGUUGCACAUGCUGGACCAUGCACGGGACCCGCGGUCAACGAGGAGGGAGACGGGCCAACAGCGAUCCAGGCCUUGGAUCCUGGAGUUCAAGCUGGUAAGCGAUGACU